GGUCAAGGCAGGCAGGGGUCAGUAACCAGAGGUGGGGCAACGGUACCGGGCGGCAGGCAGGCAGGGGUCAGUAACCAGAGGUGGGGCAACGGUACCGGGCGGCAGGCAGGGUCAAGGCAGGCAGGGGUCAGUAACCAGAGGUGGGGCAACGUUACCGGGCGGCAGGCAGGCAGGGGUCAGUAACCAGAGGUGGGGCAACGGUACCGGGCGGCAGGCAGGGUCAAGGCAGGCAGGGGUCAGUAACCAGAGGUGGGGCAACGUUACCGGGCGGCAGGCAGGCAGGGGGCAGGAGUCAGUAACCAGAGGUGGGGCAACGGUACCGGGCGGCAGGCAGGGUCAAGGCAGGCAGGGGUCAGUAACCAGAGGUGGGGCAACGGUACCGGGCGGCAGGCAGGGUCAGGGUAAGGCAGGGGUCAGUAACCAGAGGCGGGGCAAUGGUACCGGGCGGCAGGCAGGGUCAGGGUAAGGCAGGGGUCAGUAACCAGAGGCGGGGCAACGGUACCGGGCGGCAGGCAGGCAGGCAGGCAGGCAGGCUCAGGGUCAGGGUAAGGCAGGAGUCAGUAACCAGAGGCGGGGCAACGGUACCGGGCGGCAGGCAGGCUCAGGGUCAGGGUAAGGCAGGGGUCAGUAACCAGAGGCGGGGCAACGGUACCGGGCGGCAGGCAGGGUCAGGG
ensembl:lncRNA